rnacentral:lncRNA from 1 species
UAAGGAAACUGAGGGGUAAUAAUAAAUAAUUUGCACAACACAGCACAAAGCUGAGGAGCCAACACUGGACCUGACGAAGUCCCAUUCUGGAAGCCAAACUCCCAACUGCUAAGCUCUGCUUGAAUUCUCAUUGAGCAUCUCGCUUCUUAAAAGUUUCAACAACUCAGCAGUCUAUAAUCCAACUCGCCUUCUCCACAAUGCCAAAAGUGCAAUGAGCUUCAUGCUGAAUACUGAUUUGAAGUGUGGUUCACCACACAGACUUAAAUUGUCCUUCCCACAACUUUAUCUGAGAAGCAUGACAACGGUGACAAUCACAGGACUAGU